GGGAGAUUAUGGAACGUUAUCCAAUCUGCUGCUCAUCAGCAGGCUAGUAACAUGUAAAGAAUUGAUCUGACAGUCAUUGACAUCAUCCUUAUACAAGCUAGAAGAGUUAUUUACAAAAUCAAACUGCAUUUCAAAUUGUAGACCAAACUACCUGAGCUAGAAGUGUAGAUGACUGAGAAUAUUUCCUAUUCAGCUUUUUUGGCAGAUUUAUCUGGAGAGCACUGCUCCGUUCUAUCAAUCUGGGCGUUCUUUCUAUGUUACCAUUGAGGGAAUGCAUGAUCAUUUCACACAAUUGGUUUUAUUUACUAAAAACUGCAUUCUGGUUAAUUUGAAAAAUUGAGGCUGCGUUAUCCAAACUAGGAACAUAGGUCCAUUGGAGAUUUUUAUUUAUUUUUUUUGCUUAAAUUUGUCAAUUCAGUUUUCUAUUCAUAACUGGGAGUUUAGUGAAUAACACUCAGUCUGAGUAUUUUUCAUAAGCUUUAUUUAGAAACGUAUGAUUGCUUUAUCCAAUUUGCUGAGAUUCCUUUUUACUUAAGUAAUGAUGCCUUACACAAUGAUCUAAACUGCACAUUCUGGGAUUAAAUAAUUAAGGACUGAUGUCACAC